UUUAUCAACAGACUCGACACUAACAGAAAUAUUCGUAAAAAAUCCGAUAAUUUAUGAACAUGAAAUUUUGGGAAUAUUUGACCGACGGUACACCAAUUCUACGCAUGGAGUUGCGGCUUCAACCAUAGUAACAAAUACAUCGAAAUAUUACAAAAAUGGUGGCGUGGUUCGCCAUAAAAGAAUAAACAGCCUUGAAUCAUCUUCAUCGAUUGACAUUGACAAAAUACCCAGCUUGUUGCCACAAAAAUCAAAUAAAAUAUGGACACUUGCUGGAUCAAAGGGAGCCUCUAUCAAAGUUCAAUUAUCUGCUAAACUAACUGGCAUUGACGAUUCAAUUGAUUAUCUUCAUUCUUUUCCUACAACAAUUGAGUUACCAAAUGUGAAGAGAACACACGUGACUGGUGAUUGUGAUGGAGAAAUUAAAAAUAUGAAAAUUUCAUGGAUAUCAUCUGUUCCCUUGAAAAACAAUUCGAUUGACAUGUAUUUCAAAAAACUAAAUAAUGUUUACAAUUUACAUAGUUUGGAUGUGACUGUCUUUUCAAAAAACAUUAUGAGAAUUACAGGGAGUCCUGACCUAAUGAAAAACAAUAUCGUAGAAUGCAAAAAAAUUAAUAAAGAAUGUAGUUAUGGCAUCAAUAUUAAAGAAACUCAUACAACGGACUACGAACAUGUAGUUUCAGUUGAUUUAAUUAUAGAUGAAAUUAAGUUUUAUAUUACAGAAAACAC